UUUUUUUUUUUUUUUUUUUGUGUAAACGGGAGGACUCGAACCCGAGAUCUCUUGCUUACACUCCCUCCCCCGUACCACCCAACCCAACCCUCCCCCCAAGUUCAAAGCAAAUAUUGAUAUAUAUAUAUAUUUUGUAUAGAUUGUGAUUUCUAUUUUCUGGUCAUUCUUUUUAUUACGAUAAAAUAUCAUAAUUUCAUUAAAAUUUGUACUAAUGGUAGAACUUUAACUAUACAUUUUCUGGUCAUUUUUAAGUAGGUAGAUCCUUGUAUAAUCUAAAUCUCCAUAUUUCUGUAGUUUUGGAAAAAGUAAAUUAGUGUUCACUCCUUGUAUUUUAUAAAAAUUUCCCUUUUACCUCCUUCCUUUUUUUUUUUUUUUGGUGUAAUGAUCUUUAGGUCUUUUUAAAACAGAGUAAUAAUUCUUUUGAGGUAAAAAGAGUAAUAGUUCUAGGUAUACUAAGAGUAGUAAGAAUUUUACUUAUACGAAUAACUAAAUUAAUUUUUUCGAAAAAAAAGUCUGUACUUGUCUUGUCCAUUUUACCUGAAAAGUACGAACUUGACUUUAUAGAACACUUUUUUGUGAUGUGAUGUAUGUGAGAUAAAAAGGUGAUUGAGAAUAUAAAAAGGUAGAUUGAGAAAUGUGUUUAUGAUGCAAGCGAAAUAUUAUUUGAGAUAAUUUGGGUUUCCAAACACUCUCAUGCUCUUAUGAGUGUCUAGCCAAAUGUACGUUAAAGAACAUCAUUAAAUUUUUCAUUAGUGUAAAAACUAGAGCCACCAUAGAUUCCCAGUCGGCAAAUUAUCAAAGCCCCACGAGAGUGCAAGGUGACAUAAACACCCACAAGAAAGCAAAUGGCCAAUUGUGCUAAAAAAAACUGCCUAUUGUUUCUCUUUUCCAUGUCAUGGUGGGCUGCAUUUGUGUAUAAUUGAUGAAAUGAACUUCAACUUGUAAGAUUAUUAAUUUCUGGGGCCAGCACGAUUGCAGGUAGCAGUUGUUCAAAAAGGUUCACGAUCAUGAUUUGAUCAAAAUAUAUAUAUAAGAUUCAGAUCACGUCUUAUACAUUAAUUUUAACAUUAUGUGUGGGAUUCAUAAAAUUUUAUUCUAUAUUUACAUUUUGAACAAAUAAAAUUAUAUCACAUAGAAUUGAACAAAAUAUGAGCAUCAGAAGAUCGGACAUCCGCAUGUUUCAAGUUUCAAAGAGCCAAAAGGAAUUUUUUCUCUUCAAGAAACACAAAAAGGCAAAAAACCAAGAAUUUCAAUUCUUCUUGCUGCAUCAAUUGAUGGAUUUUAUUUAUAUAGAAGGGAGAUAAGAAUAUCCACUUGGGAUCACAAAAAGGAAUGCGGAGAACAGCCAAAAAAAAGUGUACAAACUACAAACCAACUGGUCCAGUCUCUUUAUUAUGUAUCGAUCAUCUUCCUUCAAUUCACUCGUAAUGUUGCUGUCUUGUGAGUUUUCAGCCUUUGAAGGGUCGCUGCCCAUGCUUUCUUCUUCAUACACUCCCUUGUUGCUCACUUAUUUGGCCUCCUUCCAACUCUCUCCCCUUUGUUUUAUUCACUUUUCAUAUUGUACCUUUUAUUUUCUCCUUUUCUUGUGGCAAAGACUUUUCUUUGGGAAUGGGGUGUCAAAUUCCUCCAAUACUGCUACAAAGAUAAGGGUUCGGUUGACAGGAACCGGUGGGCAAUCAUUGAGAGCGUUAAACUCCUUUUUUUUUUUUUUUUAAACAAAAGUGAAGUUUAUUCGGAAAUCUCAAUGCAGGGGUGGAAUGAAUGGAGUAUGUGUUUUUAUAUGAUAAAUUAAAUAUAAUUUAAGUUUAUUAACAAGUGGAUACUGGAUGUUCUAAAUUAACAUUUUUAUGUGACAUUGUCCUAAUAUAUAAGGGAGGAAAUGUUUUUUGCACUUCCUUUUUUUUGUUAAUCACACUCUUACUAUUAUUUUUAUUGUAUAAUUUUUUAUUUAUUAAAUUAUCUAAUAAAAUAAAUGGUGCGAGUACAAUUAACAAAAAAUAGAGUACAGAUAACAGCUUCGCGCGUAAGGCCACGAGCAAUUGUCUUUUUUUUUUUUUUUUUUUUCAAGUUUCUUAAAAUGGCAUGCGAAAAGUGUCUCAUGAUUGAGCAGACAAUUUGUGGUUCUCAAAGAUAGCACCAAUUUUUAAUGUACUUAGACCUUGUUGGACAAAGUUCAGCUACUCAAUUGUUUUGCCGCAUCUCAAAAGUGCAAUAAUGAAACGCAACACUCCAGAGAGCGUUCUUGGCUACAUUCAGUCGAACAAAGCCAUUUGAUUUCUCAAGCCGUGCAAGUUUCCUUCCUUUCUUAAAUAAAAGCUCAUUUUGAAAAGUUCUUGAGAUGCUAGACUUCUUGAAUGAUAGCCUUAAGUAGAAAACAGUAGAAAGAGUCAAAAAUCUUGAAGCAUGAAGAAUGGGGUAUACCAGGCUACUAAUAAAAAAUAUCGGCAUAGUCUAUAACCACAGAUUCAUGAAAAUGACAGUUGAUUUUCUCAAUUACUUAAAUUAUGGGAAAAUUACUUUGCUUGGAUAGCCCUUUUUUUUUUCUUGGGUAUCAUAAACACGUUUUCGAGUUAUCUUCUCAAUUUUUCAAUAACUUUUUAUUUUAUAUACAUCUUAUCACAAAAAUAUUAUAAUAUUAUGAAUUAAUCUUAUAUAUACUAUGAUAUCAUCAUUAGAUAUAUAAUAUAUGUGCAAAUUUUGAAUUUGAAAUUUAAAAUUUGCUCAUGUUUCAUUCAUCCAAUCGUGAUAAUGUAUACACUGACAGUAUAUAUAAAAUUUACUCAUAAUAUUUAAGCAAAUAAAUAAUCUUCAUUCCAAACAGAUACGACUCUGAACUUGGAACUCCUUAAAUUUCUCAAGCCAUGCAAGUUUCCUUCCUUUUUUCUAAUUAAAAACUCAUUUCAAAAAGUUUUUGUAAUGCUAGAGUUCUCGAAUGAUAUAGCCUAAAGUAGAAAGAGUGAAAAAUCUUAAUGCUUGAAGAAUAGGGUAUUAGGCUACUAGUCUAAAAUGUCUAUAUAGUUUUAGCAUUAGAUUCAUGAAAAUGAUAUAUAGUUGAUUUUGUCAAUUACUUAAGUUACGGAAAAAUUACUUUGUUUGGAUAUAGUUUUUUUUUAAUUCCUUUUGUUGUAUCAUAAACACGUUUUGAAACCAUCUCUUUAUUUUACAUAUAUCACAUCACCAAAAGUAUUAGAGUAUUAUUCCAAAAAAAAGAUUAAAUAAUCUCCAUUCCAAACAGAUAUGAAUCUGAGCUUGGAACUUCUUAAAUUUGCACGUAUAGUUUAUGUAAAACAUUGCGUUCCAGGUUGAGCAGCGAAAAGUAGUAUUAAUGUCUCUUUAUGUUUUGAUAAGAUUGAAAUGUCGAUGCAUGCAUCGGACAUUUGAAAAUCAGAUUGACCAAUUACUUGAAUGUUCUUGAUGCCAUUUUCAUACUUUAGGAAAUGGUCAUACGUAUUUAAACUUGUUCAGUGUUGGCCUUCUUUUGAUAGUUCAACCGCUCGCAAGUAUUUGUGAUGGACGUGGAUGGUUAGUUGAUUUGCUGGUAAUCUGAUUAAUUAGCCUCAUGGAGUCGUUGUCCAUCCUUAUCACUUCAAUCUAUUAUUGCUUUGGGUUUCUACUUUCUUUCUUGUUGUCUGCAGACAGAACGUUAAUUUCAUAAUCAUGUUCAGAGGUCAUGUGAAUAUUUUCUCUAGAAUCACGUACGAAAUCAACAAGAACAUGAGAUUAUCUUGCAAGAAAUGAACUUUUAUUCACAAGAAACUUUCCCAACUUUAUCAACAACACUAAAUACUUCUUGAAGAUUGAGGUGGUAGAAACGACUUGAAGGGUAGUUUUUCGUGUUGGGAAGUAAAUUAGAAAAAGGGUUAAAAAUAAAAAAGUCUCAUGUGAUAUACCUAAUAUACAGGAAAACCCUUUGUGGUUUCAAAACAGACAAAACGACAUCUCAUGUUUUAAACUAAUAGAAUUUGUUAAAUUUAACGAAAAUGACGGUCUCGACUGUUCAACUUACCGGAUUCCAUUAAGUUUACCGGAUUCCGUUAAAUUUAACGAAUUCUGUUAAUUUAUAAUUUAGUUCAAAACAUAAGAUGUCGUUUUGUAUGUUUUGAAAUCACGGGAGAUUUUUCUGUAUAUUAGGUAUAUCACACGAAACUUUUUUUAUUUUUAACCAUUAGAAAAACGUGUGAUGAUCUACACAUUCUACAUACACUUUAACAUCUGGUCAGAAAUAAGAUAAGUAACUUUUCUAAAGCAAAAGAGAUAAUAUGAUAAAAAGAUCAGACAAUUUUUUUGUAAUCCCGAAAGUUUGCAAUGAAACACAUGCAAAAUCAGUCUUAUCAAAUGUGUCCACAAUCUGCCAUUCUUCAGAAGUUUAUGCUAUUUAAAUUGCUCUCUAGAAUUCCUCUGGCCAAAAUUUUAUCUAACUCUUCCGUGGGAGAGAGUCCAGAUAAUUUUAUCUAGCCUUUCCUCAUGGAAGGGAGUGCUCUUUCUAUUUUUGUUUUUAGUUUGUCUUGUAAAAAUAAAUUCUCUCUUAGGGUUUCUUAGUGAUAGAUUCUUCUUUUCUAAAAUCUCUCAAUAAGAGUUUCUUCUCUUCUAAAUUGUUCUAGUGAGAGUUUAAUUCUCUCUUAGGUUUUUCCUUGUAAGAGUUUUGUUUCAGUUUUUAUCCUUUUUUUUGUCAAUUUUGAGAUUUCUCUAAUUUUCUCCGUUUAUUAUUGUCAAAUCUAAACUUUUCUUUUCUUUGAAUUUAAACCAAUGUUUAAUUAGAUCUAACUGUUAGAAAAUAUAUACAUAUCUAUAGAACUACAAUGAUUCAUCUAGAUGGAGGAUAUGUUGGAACUUAUCAUUAUUUGUAUUGAAUUUUCAGAUCUGUUGUAUCUAUUGAUUUUAGAUUUGUACCUGUGUCAUAUUUGAUUUGACAUAUUUUUACCAUUAGUGCAAAUUUAUUGAAUGAAAUGAUCUUUCUAUUAAAAUUCUCCAACUAAUUAACGCAGGUAGAAAUCUUGGUUGUAUUUGGAUGCACUUUAGAAUGAAGUUAUUGUAGUCUUUUUUUUUCCCUAGAAUUAUAAUCAUCUAGCUGUACUGCAUUCAUUGAAAAACUUGUAGAUUCUAUACUUAAUGAUUUAUAUUGCUUAAAUAUAUUAAAUGACACUUGUGCAUAUCCUAAAGUUACUUUUUUUUUUCUUGGCAGUCUUUUGAAGGCUAGGAACAAUACCAAAUAUCUGAUGUGAGACCAGCUUUUGGGUUUGAUCAAUAUUUCUUUACGCGCUAGAUUGACAAAUAUUUUUUAGAGUUCAACACUUAUAAAAGUGUUUAAAAUUCAGGAGAUGAAAAUACUUAAAAUAUAAUGAUAAGAAGAUAGGAUAACAAUAAUCUUGGAAAUUCUAAUAAUGAAGAGUGAUCUAUAAUUCUUAAAAUCAUAGCGUCUAUAACAUUUCUAUUUUUUUUUAUAAAUAAAUACAUGGGAGUUAUAUAUCACGAAGGAUACAAGCGAAAUAAGUGUAAAACGUAUGGAAAACAAUGGACUGCAGCGUGAAGUCACCGAGACGAGACCAGGGGCAGGGACGGUCAACAGAGAAAUCGUUGAGAUCGAUUUUGUGCAUUUUGCAUAAGAUAUAAUUUAGUUUACACACGAUUUAAUUUAUUUUGUAUAAUGUGUAAUUCAGAACAAAAUUUUGUGAAUUCCAUAGAUGAUAUAAAAAAUAAUGUAUAAGCCAUAAGGUAAAAUCUGAAUCUUAAAAUUUUUUUUGGAUCAAAUCUUAGCCAUUUGCCUUUCGGAACUUCCGGCCCCAUUUCCCACCAGGAUAUAUGAUGCAAUUCUGUCCUUGAGAAAAAUGACAAGUUCAUGCCCCAUCACUAGUAGUUUGGAUCGUGUAAUUCCUGAUGCCAUAAGAUGAGGCGUUGGUUGAACUGUGCUUGCCGGCCGACAUGUGUGAGUGGCGACAGAAUGAAACCGUGUUGUUUUUCCAAGUCAAGCCAUGAAUGCACAAAGUCUUCUCACAUCGAAUCUUUUCCUACACGAGUUACAAGAGAUUUUUUUCUCCCCUACCUCGCUCUAGAAACUAGUAGAUACUAAUUCUAGUCUCAAUAAUUUCCUUUGUCUCUUAGCUCAGUGGACGAAUUUCACUUCACGCUGAGAAGACUAGUGGCUCAAAAUAAGAAGAGUUUUACCCGUUUGGAUUGUUAUUUUUCUAAAGUUUUUAUAAAAAAUUAUAUAUUUUUUAACGAGUUGAUGUAAAUGAAAUAAAAAAUAAUUAAAAAAUAUAUUUAUCAAAAAUAUAAAACCAGUGGUGUAUUGCGACCAUGACCCAGCAAGUUAAAUUUAAAUACAGAACUUUGAAUAUAUCUUAUGUACACAGUGUAUAUACUAUCACCGUUUGAUUCAUGACAUGUGUGUACAAGUUGAAUUUCAAAUUUAAAUUUUGUAUAGUUAUCAUUCAUUCAAUGCUAACAGUGUAUGCACUAUCAAUGUAGUGUAAAAGAAAGAUUAAUCCUAAAACUUUUGCCUAAGAAAAGGGUUUAAUUAUUGUAAAGUGGGUUUUGACUUUUCUUAAAGGAAAUGGAUGUCGUUUUGAAUAUUUACUUUUAAGUAUGGCAAAUUUGUAAAAGUAGAUGUUACAGCGACUCGUGUCAGCCGGCAGCUGGUAGCUUUUUUUUCUUUUUGUUUCUUUUAUCAUUUUGCCUUUUGUUGCUUUCAGUUCAUCUGUGAAAUCCUUUACAGUGGAGAGGGGGUAUCAAGAGAACAAGAGUUGAAACUUUUAUAAUAACAAUUUUUUUUCCUAGGGUAUUAUUACUCAGGUUGGGAUUCUCAUCAUUAGAAUUAGAUUACUCUUCAUUGAACUUUCUCUUCAUUUAUUUAUAUCUAAAUUACUAUAAUUUUAUAAAUCAUCUAAUUAUAUCAAUUACUUUUUUUAAUAUCUAGAUCAACAUAUUAAAAGAUGAUAUUCUUUUUCAAAAAUUUUGACAUUCAAUUUCGUGUGAAACAUUUGAAUGAUGAAAAAUAGGUCCAAAUUAUAAUAAAAUUUCUAAUGAUUAACCAGACGGCAAAAUUUCACCAAUUUCAUACAAAGUUUUAUGUAUAACUAACACAAGCGAUGAAAUAUACUCCCUCCGUUCCACUUUGAUAGCCCUGUUUUCCUUUUUCAUUCGUCCCAAAUUGUAGUCCACUUUCCAAUUGAAAAAUAUAGUUGUAUUUUAAUUUUUCUAAAAUACCCUUAUUCAAUGUAAGUUGUUGUUACUACAAACCUACUCCAUUUAACGAGAGUUGAUUCUUUUUUACUAUCAAUUCAAUUUUUUAUAAAGUUGUACUUUAAUUAAUGUGAGGGUAUUUUAGGAAAAUAGUUAUCUAAAUUGAUUGUUCCAACAGAGUUAACUACUUUUUCUUAAACUGUGUUAAAAAGAAACCAGGACUAUCAAGGUGGACGGAGGGAGUAUUAUGAAAGCUACUGAUUUUGGAAGAUAAUUUUUAAAUUAAUUUAAUUGUCUUGUAAUGAUACAAUGGAGAGGGACCUAGUCCAUUGGACUCAACUCUAAUUAAACAUUUCAAUUCCCAACAUAAUCAUGUGCUUUUUGUAUUUGGCAAAUGACAUAAUAAUCCCAUUAUAAGACAAGAUCCGAAAUUAUGGCCCUAUCCUAAUUUGUAAUAUAUACCUUUUUUUACCACCAUCAAAAGAUCUAAAAUCUAUUUGCAAAAGCAAACAGGAGCAUAAAAAAAUUAUCAUCCAAAAUUAAGUGAAAUAGAGCCUAUUAAGUUUUCAUUUGAAUGCCAACAGGGAGCAAUUGUAGAUAUAUUGAUGAAUUACGAUAAAUUUAGCCACCAUUGACAACCAAAAAAGUGAAAAAUAAGUGCCAUACAAAAGAAAGGGACUGAUAAUUACAAUUCGCCGCAAGUACAAGAUUUCAGAUGGGCAAAGACGGGGCAGCGGUCCAGGAAUAGUGGACCACCGUCGAGAGUGUUAGUCACUUGCCAUAGAUCAGUCCACAAGGGUAGAAAGCGAUGAAGAUUUAAUUGAAGGCCCAGCUUGAAACGAGAAAGCUUGCGUGGUCCACUCUGCCUAGUCCAGUCCGUCCCACCCCACCCAAGAGAAAGGAAAGGUGCGUGUGGCUAAACCCUCCAGUCACGUGCAUGCUUUUGGGACACAGAGAAUCAUGAGAAAAGUUGAUCUUGAUGCGCCACCAACAGCUCAUGGGAAAAUCAUCUGUGCACCAUACCCCUUUCAAUUCCAAAAGUAGAAAAUGAAAUAAAUUUUGCACCCUACAAAAAUGAAACAGAGGCAACCAAACAUGGUAAAAAAAAAAUCUACCUACAAAAUAGUGCUCAGUCAACUUUUGAGUAUGUGUGUAUUCGCACCUUUUUGUCUUUUUAAGGAAAGUUCGUGCAUACUCGUUGAUACUCAAGACCACGGGCAGGCAACCGGGCAGAACGGCUGCAGGUGCAAUCGUUUCUGACGAUUUUGUGUAUUUUGUAUACCGCGUAAUUUUGUUUGCACAUGAUAUAACUUUGUUUGCAUAACGUGUAACUUUAGAACAAAUUUUUAUGAACCCCACACACGUUGUUAAAAACGAUGUAUAAUAAGUGAUUUGGAUCGUACAAUUUUUUUGGACCAAAUCCUGACCGUGAACUGUUCAAUGACGGUCUUUCUGAUGACCGUCCCUGCCUCGUCUCCACUUUGAGUUGCAACAAUUGACACUUUCCCUUUUUUUUUUUUUUUUUGAAAAAAGUUUUGAUGAGUUCGGCUCCGAUUACCACUAUCGGUUAGGUUAGGCCUCCGAGACCAUAGGUUGCUUACAAGAGGCACUUACAAAUCACUCACCAAUACAACUCUCACAUCGAUAAUGAGAUUCGAAUACACAAUUUUUUGUGAGAAAGUGGUCUGUCCUUACCGAAGAGUCAAUAACAAUUGAGACUUUCCUGCCAGUUCUAUUUUUUUUUUUUUUUUUGACAUGAGGAAAAGAACCCUCCAAUGAUAUCAGGAAAAUUGGAAUUUGCAAACAAUGGACAUGAGAAAGGCAUCUUCAUGGUUUGGAAACUUGAUGAUUUGACACAUAAUCAAGGAAAAAGAAUGCAGGGUUCUUCAGACUUCGCAAUUUGAGAAGUGUACGAGUAUGCAAUGUAUGAUUUUUUUUGCGUGAAAGGUUGUGUCUACGCGACAAAUUGUGAAAAUCUAUCACUUGUUUAACAUUUCAUUUGUCUACUUACAAUCAAUCAACAACCUUUCUCUUUCUUCUCUCUCCCUCUUGAUAAGCUGUGUGCUUGCCCCACUCCACUCUGUAAUGCUUAACUGAAAUCAUAGCCAGAAAAGAGGCUUUGAACUUCAAUGCAUGGGGUAUGCAACAUUACCUGCUAGGUAUGGCGUUUAUGAUUUAACAGGCAAAUUAACUUUUGAUUGCAAUAGUUUUUCUCCUUUCGGACUCCUCCAAUUCUCUCCACCUAUUUGCCUUUCACGAAAAUCCAACUGUAACUGACUGUGGUCUGACCUCUGUCGUCUAUCUAAGAAGAACGGAAUGUUAUAUGAGAUACUUAAAUCUCUGGGACUAAAGGAUUUUUCACUUGCUUCUUUUUGCAGGGGAUGUAAUUAGUAAGGAUGAUAGGAGCUGUUCUUUUUGACGUCUCGGAAGCAGUAAAUUGUUAAAGAGUUUGCAAAGAAAAGAAAUCUCUUUUCCGGUCUUGCAAUGCCAGUCCCUCUUGCUCCGUAUCCAACACCUCCUGUUCCAUUUACACCACCUGCAACUGGUAUGGUAUCAUAUCCAGGAGCAUUCAUAGUCUGCAAGAGACUUGAAUGGACAUAUGCUGCUUUGCUGCAUAGGAUAUUGAAACAUGUUUUCUUGAAUUGCUUAUGUUGUUUAAGUUAAAAAGCUAGAUGGAAUUUGUGACUUCCAUCAUUUUUCACUUUCAUAGCCACCUACCGAUAAUUCAACUGAAGGAGUUUACUGCAGAGAAGCAUCAGAUUUUGUCAAGUCAAGCACUUGCACUUGAAGAUAGAAUUUUUUUACACAAAUUCAGCCUGUUGAAUACAAACAAGAACAGUAAAUUAAGGCAAAAGAAAGCAUUCUUCAGAUUGACAAUAAUAAUCAGUAUUCAAAAGGUUUUUGCACUUAUAGCAAUUUUGGAACAAUAAAUUUUUCUGGUUUUUGUUCUGUAACUUCACAAAUUUGUAUGGUUCUACAAAAUGAUUUGACUUCAAAGCUUCCUGUCACCGUGAAAUUUUUUGUGCAUCUCUUAAGUAGAAUUCACCUGUCUUAUGAUAUGUUGCAUAUAGUCUCUGAUCCUCAAUAAGUUUGAUGGUUAUCAGGUGCACAGAGCCAGCUUGUUUGUUCUGGUUGUCGAAACCUUUUGGUGUAUCCGGUAGGAGCAACCUCUGUGGUGUGUGCAGUUUGCAAUGCAGUCACAGCUGUACCUCCUCCUGGUAUACUUGCAGUGACUCCCCAACUCAUACCUCUCAAUUUUCAUUCUAGUUAAAAAGCUAACAAAUUUAGGAGGGCUUUUCUCAGUAUCGAUUUUCCUUUAGCAGGCACUGAGAUGGCUCAGUUGGUUUGUGGGGGCUGCCAUACUUUGUUAAUGUAUAUUCGUGGAGCAACAAGCGUGCAGUGUUCUUGUUGUCACACCAUCAAUUUAGCAAUGGAAGGUAAAUUAAGUGAUAGUAUGGUUUUCUGAAGAUUGUAACAUCAUUAAUCUGAGAUAGCAGCAGUUAAGUAUCAUGUGUAUUUUAUGGCAGCAAAUCAGGUAGCACAUGUCAAUUGUGGGAACUGCCGGAUGCUGUUGAUGUACCAAUAUGGGGCGCGAUCUGUAAAAUGCGCCGUCUGCAAUUUUGUGACAUCAAUUGGGGUCAGUAUAUAUUUUGUUUAACCAGCUUUUACAAGUUUAAAUCAUAAUCAUGGUAGGUAGAUAAAUUUCAGGAGGAGCUAAAAAGAAAAACUUGAUCAAAUUGUAAAGCUAUCUGCAGCAUAAUGCAGAUUGCAGUGUAUCCAAGUCCCAGACACUGUGAGACAAGAGAUGCCUACUAAUUGUGCAGCUGGACACUGCAGAUGCACAAUAGUUGGAUCAAAUGAACUAGGAGCAAAAGAUUAAGUUGGUUGAAUAUCAGAAGAUGUUCUAGCAAACUCUUGCUGUUAACAGUUGCAAAAAAUUUUACUUUCCUGAUUAUCCUCCACACAAAUUAUUCAGUUAACCAUAAGCCAUUCACAUUCUUGAUCCCAAGAAUGUCAUAUGGUUCAAUAAAUGAUAAUCAUCAGUCAUCCGCUGAUUAUCAUGAUUGCAAUUAUUGAUCUCUCACUUAUAAGGCAUAAGGGAACUUCCCAGAAAGUAACAUUUGACAUUCUGGCGGAAACACCUUAGUAAGCUCCUCCUCUUCCCAACCUUCUUCACAUGUGCCAAACAUCCACUCUCUGAAAACAGCAAUUUUGCCCUUUCUUUUUCCCCUCUUGAGUUCCUUGGAUCUCUGACCAGCUUGCAUUCUGGAAUGGCCCGUACACUUUGUUAAGUACUAUGACUAGAUUAAAACUUAGUUAAGCACUUUGAGGAUAUAUGUUGGUGGAGGAGAGUAAUAACUUUCAGCAUUGUCACAUGUAGAUAAUGGAACCCUAUGCUAAUCUUAAUACAAAAUAAUCAUGUCCACUGUUUCAACUACAUGUAACAAAUUUCCAUUGAACGACAGGCAUCAGCGAGCACUAUUGAGCAGAAGUUCAACAGCUGAACUCUGAAGUUUUCUGUUUCAAUACCACAAUAUAUUGCCAUUUUGAAGAGCUGCCAGAAACUGCAAAAUUCCUGGAAGCAGAGAAAGUAUAUUUCUGCUGCAUUGUAUAGAGUUCUUUUUCCAUCGCGUGAUUUUGAUAUGAAUAAGCAAAUUUUCCUGCGUAAAUGCACAAGAUUAUUAUCUAUGAAUUUUAGGUUGCUAGCGUUGUUUCAAAUUAUUGGAUAAGAAAAACAUCAUUUUCUUCUAGUGCUUCUUCUAAUUGCAUCAAGCACACGACAUCAGGCUGUAUAUUUCACUUUAUCCAUCUUUUUGAAUUGUCAGUGGGAUGCUGAAAUUAAAUGCUUACACCAACAUAUCAAUCUCCAAAAAUUGAGUUUUUCCAAUUGGAUAAUCCUGAAGAUAGGAAUCGGGUCAAAUGUUCCUGGUGAAAAAAGUUGGAUGCCUGAAAUUAUCCACAUGGGAUGUCUCAUCAAAAAUUAGACCUGGUCUCCUAGCAGGUGAUUGUAAUACCAGUUCAAAACCAAUGGGUCCAAUGGCCAGGGAGAAUCUCUUUAAAGCUCUCUUGUGCACUAGAUCGAAGGCUCAAAUCCCGCCUAAUGCAUCUCAAAGAAGCACAGUCCAUUCUUAAAAUAAUCUAAAAAAUGUAGUAGAUCCUCUAAUCCCUAUACAAGUCUCUUUAAAUUUCCACUUCCUAUAGCCUAGAUUAGUAUAGGAAUAUGAUAGAUGUUACUGUUUGCGGGGAAAAAAAUACCACUUCAAAUGUUACUUUUCCAUACUUUACUGUUCUAAUGUGGUAUUUUACUGUGGUAAAAAUUAAUUGUUCAUCGUAUAGAAAAUCUCCCACGUAAAAGUAUAGAAAGAGCAAAAGACACGGGGGCUCAGAGAGAAAACAAGAGUCGUUGUUUUUCUCCUUUUCAAAGUAAGAGUCAUGACCCUCCUCGAAUUGUUUCUUUCGAAAAUGCCAAUCAAGCGAGAAAACUAGCCGUCUCCGUUUUCUUCUCCUAGUGCAAGAGACAAAUCAAAUCGUCAAAACAAAUAUGGAGCUCCUAAGUAAAAGGGGGGGGGGGGGGGGUUAAUUCCAAUUUGUCCUCCCAAACUUUGGACGAUUACUCACUUCAGUCUCUAAACUUUAAAAUGGGACACCUAAGUCCCUAAACUUAUAAAUAUCUCCCACUUAAGUCCCUAAACUUAUAAAAUGGGACACUUAAAUCCCUAAACCCUUAUAAAAUGGGACACUUCGAUCACCAAGCAUUCAGGAUUUGUUAACAAUUUUCCUUAAGUGAGAGGUAUUUAUAAGUUUAGGACUUAUGUGUCCCAUUUUGAAGUUUAGGGAUUGAAGUAGGUAAUCGUCCAAAGUUUGGGGGGACAAAAUGGUAUUAACCCGUAAAAGGGUACUCCCCUUUCUUUUUGUUUUACGUCUCUCCUUUCCUAAUUACUACUAAAAACUAAGGAAGUUCCCAUAGAGGACAAAAGACUAGGUCGUUUCCUAAUAUCAAUUGGGAACAUGUUUCUUAGGUCUUCAGCUUAAAUUGGGAAAUCGCCACGCGGAUAAAUCUCGACUCUUCCAGACUUGGAGGCUAACUUAGGCGCGACCCCCGGAACGUCUAAGAAUCUUCAUUAAUCCACUUUUACCCCUUUUCUUGCUAUAUGCUUGAAAUUAGCAGCGGUUGUCAAAUAUAAGUAAAAUCCAUCCAAUAAUGCAAUAUUUGGCCAAAAUCAAGGAAAUAUAUUUACAAAUUCAAUAACAAUUAUACACCUUAUCAAUUUCUCUCACACUUAGCCCAUGUUUGCCCUCAAUCAUAAGAACAACAAAUCAAACAAUCGAGUUCAAACAAUAGUUAUCAUUCAAAUUAUCUAUAGUUGGAGUACAAUUAAAACACGUGUCAAGUAUUAGUAGCUAGCCUCCAAGAAAUAUCUCUUCAAUUAACUUUUAAAAUCAAAAACUUUUUCAAUUCUUGGCUAACUAAUUUAAAAAUAUAAAAUAUUUACCCAACAAUCAAUCGGCAAAUGAUUCGACUAUUAAGCAAAAAUUUCAACAUUAAAAUUUAUGAAUCAGCGGGCUAAUGUAACCAUCCACAUAUUUCCACUUUCAUACACAUUUUCACUUUCACUAUUAGCAUAACAUUUUUCUAAGAUGCCCCCUACACUUGAUUUUUCUUUGUUUUCAAUUUUUCAAGAGAAAUGCUUAGUUCUUAGCCAUUCAAACCGUUUGAUGCGAGCUCCGACAUCUACCAAAUGAAGGAAUUUGAUUACUCAUCUUUCAUUGCUUAAACACUAAAUACUCAUAACUAUCGCCACUUUUUGACACGAAAGUCAACACUUAUGGUGAAAACUCCUGGUUACUAGGUAAAAAAUACUAGUGAAGUAUAACCAAAUACUAUUCAAAAAUAAGUAAAAAAAUAAAAUUAAGCAUCACAAGUCUACUUCAUUUCUCAAACAUGGAGAAUUAAGAUUAGUAGUUGAACUAAUUUAUACGAAAAAUGUCAUACAAAUAUUUACAAUGCUUAGAGAAGUUAACCAAAAAGUACAAAAGUCACAAAAUUUUUAAUAUUCACCAAAGAGACAUUCUCAGAUUUCACUACGUCAUACUUGACACAUUAAAACAUAACACCUUAUAAUACCUUAGCAACGGUAAAAAUUUAAAAUGCCUAGCCAUUGAUGAUUACAAUUAGCCACAAAAAUGUACAAAAAUGAAAUGAAAUUCAAAAACUUUUAACAGAAAUUCCAAUAAAAAUGACUAAAAUGAAUAGUAUCAUGAUACUAUACCUCCCAUAUUUAAAUCUUACAUUGUCCCCAAUAUAAGCAAUAAAGAACAAAAGAAUCGAAAGGGAAUAACGAAACUUCCCUAAUCAACAAGGGGGCAUAACAACUAUGGGUAAGGGGCAAAAGAAGGAGUACAACGAACGGAAUGGUUACAGCGCUGACCACAAUUGACAAAGACAAGUGGCGGCGAUAACAUUCAAACUCGGCGACACUUUCCAAAUAGCGACAACAAGGAAUUCGUCGUUUGGAAUACAAGGUGGAGAAAAAAUUGAAAAGAAAGAAAGAGAUAAAUGAAAAAGAAAGAAAAGAAAAGAAGAAGAAUAAUUAGGGUUUUUGGGAAUUUUUUUUUGCCCUCUUGGCGUAACAAGACGCGGGCACAUCUUGUUGCGUUGUAGUAUUCUGAUCAUGGUUUUGAAAUUUUCACGAGAUUUAGUAUGUCCUUAAGACGUCGCCACAUGUUAUGUCUAGUUGUCUUCUGAAAUUGAAAUAUGAGUUUGUCAGUCAGUUAUGCGUAGGCACGCCUUGUCAGGUAGCAGUCUUCUAUUUACUAAAACAACAAAACAAAAAUCAAACACAUAAAAUAUAAGAAAUCUAAGAAAAAUAAUAAAAAAGUGAACUAAAAAGUGAAUUGAGUUGCCUCCCAAUAAACAUCUUUGAUUAGAUAUAAAACAUUAUUUCUCAAUCCGGUUGUAAUUUAAACUUUCUUGUAAUUGGUGAAAUUUCUUUAGAAUUCAAAUCACCAUUAUGUGCAAUCACCUUUUUUAACUUUUUAUCUAUUUUCACAUCAUAAGUUAUUUUCAACCCAUGACACUUGUCACAAUAACUUUUAACUUAUCCAUGCAAUUAUAUUCAGAAAAUUCUUGCAUAGAACGAUUAAUAGCAUAAAUGGCAAAUAUAGAAUGAAAGUUAAUAUGAUGUUUUAUAUUAUUAAAAAUAUUAAAAUGAACUAUUUCUCCAUCAAAUUCUAUCGUAAGAGUACUCUUACUAAUAUCAAUAUUAGUUUGGAUAGUAUUCGAGAAGAGUCUCCCUAAUAUAAUGAGUGAUGAAUUUGGAGAGCUUUUAAUAUCCAUGUAAAGCACAUAAAAAUUAGUAAAAAACUAAUCCAUCUACUUGAACUAAAAUAUCCUAAAUUAUCCUAUUCGAAUAAGCAAAUGUACGAUCAGCCAAUUAAAUUAUUACCCUUGUUACUUUCAAGGAUCCUAGAUUUAGGUAUCACAUUUAUAGAAACUCUUAAAUCUAGUAUGAUAUUUCUAAUUUUAGAAUUUUCUAUCUUACAUAAGAUAGUAAACAUACUUGAAUCCCCGUAUUUAGGCAGUAGUUUUCUUUAUAAAAUCAUUGAGACAUUCUCAUCUACUAUGAUUUCUCAGCCCCUCUCAAUUUUUUCUUGUUGAUGCACAAGUUCUUUAAAAAUUUAGCAUAUUUUGGGUAUUUGCUUGAUCGUAUCUAAUAAACAGAUAUUGAUUGUCACUUUUCGAAACACCUCUAAGAUCUCUUUUUCUUUAUCUUGCCUUUUUGGCUACUCCAACUUAUUUGAAUUAGUGAUGAUUAGUAUUAACUUUAAUUAAAUGAUCAGAAACUAUCUCAGGAGUUGUCUUGUUUAAUCCUUCUACUUCCAACUCCUUUUCAAUUUGAUCUUCGCUCUUAUCCUUCGGAACUGUAGGUUUUGGUCCUUCAAUUUCUUUCCUUUUUUUGAGGGUCAUGGCACUAACAUUCCUUAAAUUUACUUCAGGUUGAGAAGAAAAUCUUCCUUUCUCUUGAAACUCCAAACGAUUUAUUGCAGAUUUCAUCUGACUCAUCUGAUUUUGUAGAUUUUGUAUGCUUCGUCUUCUAUUAGAAUUGCAAGGUAUUCUACUGAAGUUACAUGGUGUUAAAAGCCAAUGCCUUGACCAUAUUCUUAAGAGAUGUUUCUGAAUUAGACGGAGAGAAUUGAGAUCUUGAUGGAUACUGUAGUUGAAACCUUUGCUGUCUAUCGGGAAAGAAAUCUUGCUGUUUAUUUUCCCCAUAAUGAAAUUUGGAUGGUACAUUCAAUACAAAUUAUACGUGUUAGAAUAAGGGUCGUACUGCCUACAGGCGUGAGCACGUUUUCAACUAUGUUCACUUGUUUUAGCAUUAUCAUCUUGUAGCAUCGGGCAUCCAUCAGUGGAAUGACUAAUAUCCUUGCAAAUUCUGCAUGUCUUGACUUACUGCAUGUUCCCCACUGCCAUCUGUCGAAUCAUAGAUUUUAAUUCAAACAAUUGCUAUUGAAUUAAUAAAACACUUAUCUCAUUCACUCGACGAGCAUGUACUUCAUCCCACAUGUCAAAUUGUUAAAAAUUUUCAAUCAUCUCUUCAAUCAAAUCUUAGGCUUCUUGAGGAGUUUUGUUCACCAAAGCACCUCCAUUUGUAUCAUCAAUGAUGUUUCUGUUUCUAUAGAGUAAGCCUUCAUAGAAGUACUGGACGAGCAACUGAUCACUAAUUUGGUGUUGCAGGCAACUAGAGUAUAGUUUCUUGAACCUCUCCAAGUAUUCGUAGAGGGAUUCUCCUAGUUGCUGAUUUAUACCACAAAUCUCCUUCCGUAGACUAGCAGUUCGAGAUGCAGAAAAAUUUUUCUAAAAUUUUCUCUUCAUGUUCGUCCAUAUGGUGAUCCUCUCCGCAGACAAGUAGUAUAACCAAUCUUUAGCAGCUCCUAUCAAAGAAAAAGGGGAGGCUCACAUCUUUAUCAGCUCUUCUAUAACAUUAGGUGAUUUUAUGCUCAAACAGACAACGGUGAACUCUCAGAGAUGUUUGUGGGGCUAUUUACCUGACAAAUCAUGAAAAUUAGGUAAGAGGUGAAUUAAUCCUGAUUUUAAUUCAAAUGUUACAUUUUCAACAAAAUUAGAAAAAGUAAUGUAUAAAAGCUGCUGAUUUAAAUUAGGAGCAGUCAACUCUCUUAAAGUUUUAUUAUUAUUAUUUGCCAUCAAAACUUCUUUCUACUCAGAAUCACGGAAAGAAUUCAAUAAACUAUCAAGUUAAGUCCUGGAGAUGUAGUAGAUGACUGCUCUUCCUUUCAUAUUCUAGUUUCUUUAUUAGUUUACAUGCAGUCUUCUCAACCUUGAGAUGAAAAUCAAAUCACCUAUAUGAAAAGAACGAGAUAUAAACUAGAAAAAUAUUAGAAAUAAAAUAAAAUAAAUUCAAAAAGAAACAAAUAAACAAUGUCAAUCCCUAACAAUGGCGCCAAAAAAUUGACAGAUAUCGAACCUGUGCAAUAAUAAAUUCCUACUCAUAAAAAUAUAUAAACGAAUAUAAUGACAAAUAGUGUCGUCUCCACAGGGAUUAGAAAAAAAUUAGUUUUCUUCCAAGUAAAAGCCAACUGGGAGAUUUUGAAAAAUUAAAAUUAAAAUAUAAAAUACUCAAAUAAAUAAAAAUAAUUAAAUAGAAGAAAAUUAAAUUUAAAUCAAGAAUAAAUAAGUUCUAACCAAAGAUAUAAUUUUGAAAAUGGUUCAUAUAAUGCUCAUUGAUGCAAUAAUUAUUUAUCUAUUUGUUAAUAAAUAGGUUAUAAAUGCCAAACACGCGAUAACAAUCUACCUUUAUUGUUUCUGUUUCAUAAUUAAGGUACGCCUGUUAACUAUUUUUCGAAUUAAAAAACAAUUCUAGGUACGCUCAUAGAAUUUAAUUUCUUGAUUGCAUUAGAAACUAGAAAAUUUUGUUCUAAUUAAUAAAUGCACUACCAGAGUUUAUUUAAAUUAGAUCAUAUGUUCCCUAACAUGAAAACCAAUCAUGGUAGUCGUCACUAAUUUAAGACAAUUAAAUAAUUACGGAUUUAACUAUCUUAAUUGACAAUAGUUUGUUUAAGUUGAAUUAAAUAUCGGACGUCCUUGAUAUUCAAACAACAAAAUAAUCAUGAAAAUCAAAUCAAAAACUUAUGAAUACUAACGAAUAAAAAAAAAAACAAUUAGAUCUCACAAUUAUAAAUAAAUCAAAUCCUUCGUCAUCUCUUGACUAGAAAAGAAAAUUAAUUGUUCAUCGCGUGAAAAAUCUCCAACGCAAAAGUAUAAAAGAGCAAAAGACCUGCGGUUUAGAGACAGAACAAGAGUCAUCAUUUUUAUGCUUUUCUAAGUAAUAGUCACGACCCUCCUCGAAUUAUUUUUUUCAAAAGUACUAAUCAAGCGAGAAAACCAGCAGCCUCCGUUUUCUUCUCCUAGUGCCGAGACUAGUCAAAUCUUCAAACAAAAACAAAACUCCUAAGUAAAAGGGCACUCUUCUUUCUUUUUGAUUUUCGUCUUUGCUUUCCUAAUUACUACUAAAAACUAAAGAAGUUCCCAUAGAACAAAAAACUACGUCGUUUCCUAAUAUCAAUUGGGACAUGCUUCUUACGUCUUCAACUUGAAUUGGGAACUGCCACGCACAUAAAUCUCGACUCCUUCGGAUUUGGGGCUAACUUAGGCGUGCCCCACGGAAUGGCUAAGAAUCUUCAUUAAUCCAUUUUUAGUUUUUACUCCUUUUUCUUGCAAUAUUCCGGAAAUUACCACGCGUUGUCAAAUAUAAGUAGAAUCCAUCCAACAAUACAAUAUUUGACCAAAAUCAAGGAAAGAUAUUUAUAAAUUUAAUAGCAAUUACACACUGUCACAUCUUCCAUUCUCAAUCUCUUGAUAUCCCUCAUGGAUACUACUUUGACCACAAGAGGGUUGCUACAAUUCUAAGGCCCUGUUUGAUAAUCCAAUGUAGCACUUAAAUUUAAUGGAUUCAAAUAUUAAUAUAUUCAAAUCGUUUGAUAAUAAAAAAUUGAACAUAUGAAUUAAUUAAGUGACACUGAAUUUUCUAGGCAAAACUUGGUUUCAAAAUUAAGUGAUAAACUAUUCACUUAUCGCUGAAUAUAAUAUACACUCAAAUGUAUUAUAUUUAAUACGUCAUAAUUCAAUAAUUUAAUAAUUUUAGAUUUUAGAUUUCAAAUUUCAGACUUCAGUUUUAUUAUCAAACGCACCCUAAGUAUGACCAAACGAAAAUUGACCUAAUUAUUGUAAGAAAAUUGACCUCUUGACAAGAAGGAGGCAUGCAAGUAAUUUCAAUAUGAUUGCGAAAGAAGUAAAGGGGUGAACGAGAAACCAGACAAGCAAAGAUCAUCCAAUGCCCGACAAAAUGUCUCAGCUGACCUUUUACCAAAGCCAGAUUCAUUUUGAGGAAAAUUUCAAAUAUGGACCACCACCACAAGUCCUAGUACAGGGGUUACCUUUAAUAAGAUAUUGUCAAUUUAAAAAAGAGCUAUAAAUGCAACAUAUUUAUCUUUCCAACUGUGAAUAAAUAACAUUACCCCCUCACAUCUUCGACAAACCAUGUGAACACUUGGCUGACUUUGAACAGCUAUCCAAUGGUAUUAGAAUUCAGUGUCAAGAACUAGGACUACUGCCACUUUUGUCAUGAGACCCUCCAGUCCCCAAUGGGGGCCUAAUGAUAUUUUUGUCCUUGUCGUUCCUUGGAGUCGACUCAUUAAAUGUUUUCUUUCUUUUAUUUUGGCCUGUAUGUUGGUAGCCUGACAGGGCCUGCUGGUUUUAGUGAGCACUGCCCUUGCACAAGCUCCUCUUUUUAUCGUGCAAGGUCUAACAAUUCUUUUUUCUAGAAAAGAAAAAGAAAGAGAAAGCUUAUCUGAUCCCCGAGAAAAAGGCAGAUCUGCUUUGUCAAUUCUCAUAAGAUCAGAAGGAUUAAGAUUCUUAGGAAUGUCAUUCCUCAUUAGAAGGACUUUUUAAGGCACAAACCAGAUCAAGAAAGCUUUCAACUGCAGUUUAUGAUACCGUUUAAACAUUUUUUUUUAUCACAACCACUCGUUCCCCGAAACAUUUCAGCAAUAUUUCUUUGAAUUAUGCUGGAAUCUUCGUUUCUCUGCAGUAAACAGCAUAUCGAUAUAAUAUCAACAGUAAUUCUCUAGUGCUAUAGAAUGCGCAUCAAUCUUCUACAAUUAACUCACAAGGAGGUCCACUGGUGGAAGGUGAAAUGCAGUUGACAUGCGACAACCGGCAUAGAAUCAUAGACUACACAAAGGACUGCAUCAUCAGCAAGAAAACUUCAAGUUUCUCAUUGGAUCAGGAUGCACGAGGGUUAACGUUCAUAUCCAAAACAACAGGCCGGGAAGAAGAAACUUAUAUCAUGGCCAACUAACUUAAUUAUGUUACAUCAAAAUUGGGACGAGAGAUUAGUACAUCCACACAUUCCAUCAAACCUUGCUUUGAAAGGGACGGAAGACAGCUUAUUCAUCUCCCAUGGCUAGCUCCAAGGCAUAGUCAUCCCUUUCCUGCAGCAAGAAAAGCAAGGUGGUUAGUCCUCAACUUUAAUGUUCUUUUUCUUUGUUCCCAACAAAUGACAUCUCUUUGCAAUUGAUCUACAGGAUGCAUAAGAGAACUUACGACAGGUCCUCGGGCAAAAUAUCUUCCGAAUUGAAGCCAGUACACCUACACAGAAUAGCAUUAUUAGUUCCACAUUAGGAAUUAGAUGAGCUAAAGAGCAUUUGACAAAUUUGUUGAGCAAGAACUUCAGCCACAAAUGAGACUGGGUUCUGAUAUAACAACCCCCCACACCAUUUUUCUUUUCCUGAUUGUUUUUUUUUUUCUGAAUCAAAACUCCACUUGAUCUAUUUAUCUUUGUCAAACUUGCUAAGAGAGAAUAACCACACUGAGCAUAAAUACCACUACAUGAAAACAUUCUUUUUAAAAAAAUCUAAUUUGACUGCGGAAAAUUGGGGCCAAUUCUUGUGUCAGUGGAUAGCAGAAUGCUGGUUAUGCUUUUCAAGAAGAACAUAACUUCGUACCAACUAAAAAAAAACUGUUUGUGCACAAUGUCAAUCACUUACAGACAACAAAUCCAGUUAAGAGGGCGCAACACAGAGAGAGAGAGAGAUAGAGAGAUUCCAGAAUGAAGUUUGACUCCCAAAAGCUAAAAUUCAAGUCAAAAUGAUCCUAGGAGAGUUUGACACUGAACACCAAGCAACAAAUUACUCCUAAAGAAACAAUUCUCCCUCAACAUUUGAAGCCUUCCUGCAUCAGUAAUUAAUGCUCUUAAGCUUUUCAGAAACAAUUCUUUGAUUUAUGCACUACCUUAAAGAAUCAUAGAUAGAUUCAAUGACCUAGUAAUCUACAUUACCUCAUCCUCAUCUUGUGUUUCAACUUCAAGGUCAGAUGAUGGAAACCCACACAAAGAAGUGCAUAACCCUGCACACAAAGAAUUUAACAUCAAUGCAAGAAUUGGUGAAAUCAUUAUCUAUAGUUCUAUGAAUGUGUGAUAGCGCUUUGACGUCAAAUAAGGACUGACUUGGUUUGAAGCAAAAAGAGAUGAAGCACUAAUUAGUUUGAAAAAAUACAUAUCUUUGGAAACCUUUGAAGCGAAUGAAGCACUAAUUUACAAUCUGGACAGAAGGAAUAUCUUGUAAGGAUCAAAUUACCUUAGAUUUCAGUUCCGCUGAUAUCCCGAGGGCCUCUGGUUGUCUAAGUUGCCCAGAUUUUACGCGAACAGCACAGCUAGUACAACAACCUGCCAGACAAUGAGUUUUUACAAUUAUAUGAAAUGAAAAAGAGAUGCCUUAAUGUGUCUCAAAGUUCUACAAUUUAUUGGGUUUAAUUCAUGGAUUAAUCUUCUAUACAUUGACAGUGUAUACACUUUCACCAUUGGAUGCACAUGACACAUAAUCUGAAUUUGAAUUUCAAAUCUAAAUUUUGCAUACACAUCAUGCAUCCAACCAUGAUAGUGUAUACACUGUCAAUAUAUAUAAGAUUGUCUCUUAAUUCAUGCCAAAACACACCAAAACAAUAAUAUAAAAAUCAGACAUGCAGGCACAAAAUCGCAUACAAAAUCAAAAAGCAAACCCCACAUAUGCAAAGAGUCUAAUACCAAAUCAAGAUAGGGACAACAGAAGCCCCACAUAGUUUAGUUAUAUUUGUGGAACUGGGGGACUGAUCAGCCAGAAUUCACACGUAUAGGAUAUAGCCAUCAUAUUGGCCUUCAAUUUUCAUUUCUAUGCAUCAUCUCAUUCCCCGGAACCACAUAGUAACAACACAAAGUAAAUCUUUUCAACGCCAGACAAGAGGAACUAAUUCCAACCUUUUCAGCAUAAAAUUUCAAAUAUGUUAAAUCAUAAUUUAUGCGAGUGAAACAAACAAUUUUGCACCCCUACCCUGCAAAAGAAAAAAGAAAAUCAUACAGAUAAUGAGUGCAGUGUAGGUGGACACAAAAAAUGGAGAAUGAAGAGAAUGAUCAGCCAGAAUUCACAAUAAAAUGCCAUCAUAUCGGCUAUCAAACCGAUAAAAAAAUGAUAACCAUCAUCUCAUUCUCUUAACUCCAUCCACAAUAUUAAUGUAUCUUACAUAAGCUCAAUUAAGCUCGAUUGAGCCCAACUUGAGUUGAAAAAAGAAUCAAACUCAAGUUCAAGAAAAGAUUGUAUUCAAGAUCAAGUAACAUCACUCAAAUCAAGAUCACACAAGUCGAGCUAGAUAUUAUCAUAUACUUUAAGCACUGAGCUCGAGCUUAUCUUCAGAUAUUUGUUCAAGCUCAAGCUCAAAUUAAAGCACAUAAAUUUUGUGUCGACCUUGAUUAGGCUUGAAUACACCCCUAAUUAGUUAUUUAAUAAUCAUUAACUAAAAGUAUUAGUAAUCAAAAAAUAAAUAUAUACCGUGCCUGCAAGCAAAUGGAAGACUUAUAUUCUGCGAUUCAGCCGUAUGCAAUAUAUACUGCGUCCUGCUCAAAAUCCAUAGUACUACUAUAAAUAAGUAAAUUGAACAAAUAACUCAUAUAACUAAACUCAAAAGGGGAGAAAAAAAAAAGAGAAAGAGAACAAACACGCUAGAAUGCGUGAGAUAAUGUACCUCGGGGACGAAGAAUUCGUGAACGAUAUCACGUUGGCGGUCAUGAACGGUGACCUUGUGGGACGGGACUGACAGGGAGCAACUGCUGCUACCGUUUUGGCCGGUGACCGAAGCAGGUGGCGUGCGGAGCUCCGACGUCGUUUUGCUGCUGCAUCGGUGUUUGGGGUAAUUUAGGUGAGGUGCGGUGUGAAGUCGGUGGCGGUGGAUAGGCGGUAGCCGGGGAAAGAGAGAAGAAGAGAUGGCGACAUGUUUUGUUAUCUGCCUCUUUUCCUGUCCACUCGAAUUAACGGAAAAACGGGACGUUAUAACUCGGUUACGUCGACUGACUUACAGUAACGCUUGGGAGAAUAUUUAUGUUGGAGAACUACCAAAGGGAAAAAAUUAAAAUUGAGUCCUCAUUACAUCAAUUAAAGAUAUAUAUAUAUAUUUUUUAGAUGUUUCGCAGGGAGUGGACCCUGCAGAUUAUUCCCUACCCUCCACAACUUGCUGGCAAUAAAGUUCGAAUCAGGGACUUAAGGCUCCAUCUUCAACAAGAGACUUAAGACUACAUCUUCAACAAUCUCAACCGCCAGACCAAACUCCGGAGGGUAUCAAUUAAAGAUAUUAUCCUAUAUAGAGGCAAAAAAAUGUAUAUAACUCUUUGGGGGCUUUUUAACCUUUUCUAAGUGCACUUUUCUUUCAAACAAAACAAGCAAAAACUUUUCUAAGUGCACUUAAUCAAAUUUUAAUAAUAUAAAAAUAAGGUAAAGAAAAGAUAUGGGAAUCGUUACAACUUACCACCCAAAUCCUAGACACUUGUUUUGAACAAGAAAGAACAAUUAGCUCAUGACAGCCUAUUUACCUUAAAAUUGGUUACAAUAAUUAGAUAAUAGAUUAUUGUUUGCAAAAAUUUAUGUACCUUGGUCUAUAGCCCGAUAAGCAGAUGUAUACCGAUUAAGUUGCACUUAAUACUAAUCAUGUGGUGAUACAAAUAAUAGUAGUGUCAUUUUGAUUUUCUUACAUUAUCAUACAUCACCUACUUUUGCUUGUCUUACAGCAACAUAUAUCAUCAUACAUAACUUUAGAUCACUUUUCUUACAUCAUUAUAUAUCACCUACUAUCAUCACUUUUCUUACAUCAUGGUAUAUCCAUCUAGCAGCCACCAUCACUUUUCUCAAAGUAUAUCAUCCUACCAUGAUCUAAGCAAUACCAUAAUAUUUCUUGGUAGUCACAAUUUCAAGUUAAUCUAAGUAAAAAUGCAUGGCCCCUUUGGGUUGUUAUUUGUUAGGAGUUUUUUUGUAGCAAAAUAUAUUGCAAUAAUUUGAUGUAUGUGAGAUAGAAAAGGUGAUUGGAAAAUGUGUUCACGAAAAAUGUAAAAUUUUUUUUGGUAAAAAUCACAAUUUAAAUUAUGUUCUUGUUCCUGUAUGAGAUGAAAAAUACCUUUUACAUCAAUAGAUGAUAAAUGGACUAAUAUUUUUGGUUAAAACGGAACCUAUAUCUAUAUGUAUUGCAGAAGAGGUUUUUAUUAGAGACUCUCUCAGUUACACAUGUUUGAUAGGCCAACGACCCAGAAAAGCUCCAGCUGCAUGGAAGACACGAUGCAGCAAACGUGUCAUCCCAUGGUAGUCCAACCGCCAUUAAAGCCAUGCAAACGGUCACCCCUUCUAUAGGAUGAAGCAUCUAUAACAACAUUACUCGUUCACUUAUCCAAGAAAGAAUACACAGACACAUAGUGACGGCGAAAGAGGGAAAGAAAAAAUGCAUUCAGUCAAAGAGAAGGUUAGCAAUGCAGCAGCUGCAGCCCAAGAGAAGGUUGAGAUCAUGAUAGCCAAAGGUGAAGAGAAGGUGCUUAGGUUUUCUUAUGUUCUUAAUAUCCCAGCAUUUAUUUUAUAAAAUCAAAGACUGGACAGUAUCACUUUUGUAAUGUUUUAGGAAUCAAGUGGUAACAUAUCAAAAUUCUGGUUGGAUUUUUCAGGCGGAGAAAGCUGCAGCAAGGACAGAGGCAGAAAAGGUGAUAGCCAAGGAGGGAAGGAAAGUUAAGGAAGCUGAAGCAAAGAUGAAGCUGCACGAAACCAAAGCAGAGAACGCAGCAGAAAAGCUAAAGCAUUCUCGCCCUGUUUAUGGUCACCACGACCCAGUGGUUGGAGGAGGUCAAGGGCAUCAUGCCCCUGUUGGGACUGCAGCCAACCCAACAACUGUGGUUCCAACUGCUGCUUACCCUGCGGGGAGCCAUCCUCCCGGCCACCAUCAUACCAAACACGUCUAGCGUUUCCACAGUCAGUGUAUGUAUGGGUGCUUGUCCAGCUGCUUUCUGCCUGUAAUUGACUGCAAGUUUAUGUUCGUUUAAAUUCCGGAUUGGAGUAGGCAAGUUUCCUUGUACAAUUUAGAAAUCAACAAGCAAGAAGCGCCGGUCUAGUGUACUUCCAGAAUAAUUGGAAUCUGAUGGGGAUUACUCAUUGAUACAGUGUUAUUACACAAUUCUGACAAAUCUCUCUUUCAUAUUCUAGGCAAAACCACAGAAUAAAGCACCGUCUUCAACAUAUAUAAUUUGUGAGAGAGAGUUCAUGAAUGACAGAAUGAUUGUAUACAUUAACAUUCAAAAAGCACCAAUUUCGAGUUCCUCAAGUUAAUUUUACAAUUUGUUAAUAAUAACAAGAAAAAGAACACGAAAGUUCAUGUUCUAGGAGUCCAGUAAACACGCUAGAUGGACUAACCAAUGACCAAUUUGUGAUCUAGUAAAUCCCGGCAGGGGAACCACCUCAAAGAAGAUCAAUUACACCCACUCCAGCCUACCUUGGUAUUCCACACC
rnacentral:lncRNA from 1 species